GGUUGAUCCUGCCAGUAGUCAUAUGCUUGUCUCAAAGAUUAAGCCAUGCAUGUCUAAGUAUAAGCAAUUUAUACAGUGAAACUGCGAAUGGCUCAUUAAAUCAGUUAUCGUUUAUUUGAUAGUACCUUUACUACUUGGUAUAACCGUGGUAAUUCUAGAGCUAAUACAUGCUAAAAACCCCGACUGUUUGGAAGGGGUGUAUUUAUUAGAUAAAAAAUCAAUGCUCUUCUGAGCUCUUUGAUGAUUCAUAAUAACUUUUCGAAUCGCAUGACUUCGUGUCGGCGAUGGUUCAU
rnacentral:rRNA from 1 species